GUUGUAAACUCCUUUUUUCAGGGAGGAAGUUCUGACGUGUACCUGAAGAAUAAGCAUCGGCUAACUCCGUGCCAGCAGCCGCGGUAAGACGGAGGAUGCAAGUGUUAUCCGGAAUUAUUGGGCGUAAAGCGUCUGUAGGUGGUUUAUCAAGUCUAUUGUUAAAGGAUAAAGCUCAACUUUAAAACUGCAAUAGAUACUGUUAGGCUCGAGUACAGUCGAAGUAGAGGGAAUUUCCAGUGAAGCGGUGAAAUGCGUAGAUAUUGGAAGGAACACCAAUGGCGAAAGCACUCUACUAGGCUUUAACUGACACUGAGAGACGAAAGCUAGGGUAGCAAAUGGGAUUAGAUACCCCAGUAGUCCUAGCCGUAAACGAUGGAUACUAAACAUUGCGUGUAUCGAUCCGCGUGGUGUUAUAGCUAACGCGUUAAGUAUCCCGCCUGG
rnacentral:rRNA from 1 species